rnacentral:rRNA from 1 species
AUGCGGUAUGACGGUACCCUUUCGAAUAAGAGGUUGCUAACUCUGUGCCAGCAGCAGCGGUAAUACAGAGACCUCGAGCGUUAUCCGGAUUUACUGGGCGUAAAGCGUCUGUAGGGGGUUUGUUAAGUUCCAAGUAAAAUCUUAAGGCUCAACUUUAAGUUCGCUUGGAAAACUAAUAAACUGGAGUCCAGCAGAGGUGCAUGGAACUUGCGGUGUAGGAGUGAAAUCCGUUGAUAUCGCAAGGAACACCAAAGGCGAAGGCAUUGCACUGGGCUGGUACUGACCCUGAGAGACGAAAGCGUGGGGAGCAAAACGGAUUAGAUACCCGUGUAGUCCACGCCGUAAACGAUGGAUACUAGAUGUUCGGGGAUUCGACCCCCUGGGUGUCACAGCUAACGCGUUAAGUAUCCCGCCUGGGAAGUACGGCCGCAAGGCUAAAACUCAAAGGAAUAGACGGGGAUCCGCACAAGCGGUGGAGCGUCUGGUUUAAUUUGAUAGUAAGCAAUGGACCUCACCAAGGUUUGACAUCCUAUGACAACCCUGGAAACAGGGCUUCCUUCGGGCAUAGUGACAGGUGCUGCAUGGUCGUCGUCAGUUCGUGCCGUGAGGUGUUCCGUUAAGUCGGGAAACGAACGAAACCCUCGUCGCAUGUUACAAAUUUCAUGCGAGACUGCCCGGGUCAACCGGGAGGAAGGCGGGGAUGACGUCAGAUCAGCAUGGCCCUUAUACCUUGGGCUACACAGGCGCUACAAUGGCCGGUACAAAGGGUUGCAAAGCCGCGAGGUGAAGCUAAUCCCAUAAAGCCGGUCCAAGUUCGGAUUGGAGGCUGCAACUCGCCUCCAUGAAGUUGGAAUCGCUAGUAAUCGUGGAUCAGCCAUACCACGGUGAUACGUUCCCGGAUCUUGUACUCACCGCCCGUCACACCAAGAGAGUUGG